rnacentral:ncRNA from 1 species
ACCUGAACUAGCCCAAUAGGGCGAAAAGCGGAAAGCCUUACCGCCUGUUCCGCUAGUUCUUUAGGGC